UGACGCGACAGUAAUGCAGGUUAGUACGAGAGGAACCCCUGUUUCAGACAAUUGGUAAAUGCGGUUGCUUGAAAAAGCAAUGCCGCGAAGCUACCAUCUGUUGGUUUAGGGCUGAACGCCUCUAAGUCCGAAACCAUGCUGGAAAGCGUCGAUAUACACCUCUCCCAAUGUUAUACGAGUACCGAUACGUCAUUU
rnacentral:rRNA from 1 species